rnacentral:rRNA from 1 species
GAUGAACGCUGGCGGCGUGCCUAAUACAUGCAAGUCGAGCGAACGGACGAGAAGCUUGCUUCUCUGAUGUUAGCGGCGGACGGGUGAGUAACACGUGGAUAACCUACCUAUAAGACUGGGAUAACUUCGGGAAACCGGAGCUAAUACCGGAUGAUAUUUUGAACCGCAUGGUUCAAAAGUGAAAGACGGUCUUGCUGUCUCUUAUAGAUGGAUCCGCGCUGCAUUAGCUAGUUGGUAAGGUAACGGCUUACCAAGGCAACGAUGCAUAGCCGACCUGAGAGGGUGAUCGGCCACUCUGGAACUGAGACACGGUCCAGACUCCUACGGGAGGCAGCAGUAGGGAAUCUUCCGCAAUGGGCGAAAGCCUGACGGAGCAACGCCGCGUGAGUGAUGAAGGUCUUCGGAUCGUAAAACUCUGUUAUUAGGGAAGAACAUAUGUGUAAGUAACUGUGCACAUCUUGACGGUACCUAAUCAGAAAGCCACGGCUAACUACGUG